ACGGUCAUACCAGAUUGAAAACACUGGUUCUCGUCCGAUCACCGAAGUUAAGCAAUGUCGAUCAGUACUUGGGAGGGUGACCACCUGGGAACACCAGGUACUGUAAGCU